UCGUGCUAGACGGGGAACUAGCGGUGCCCUGUGACCCGGAACCCGCUCUACCGGGGUCGAAGUCCCGCUGGCGGUCCGACCUAGCCGGUUCAGUCAAAGGCAAGCGGCGAUGAAGGUCAGGUCUGGCGCAACUGCAGCUCACCCAACCCCGUCAGGACCGGAAGGUAGCAGCGGCAAGUGAGUAAUGGAGUGUGCCGUCAGGCAGCCUGGCCGGAGCUGGCUGCUUUUAGGCGGCCGGUCUGUGGAAGGAACAACAGCGGGUGCACGA
rnacentral:SRP_RNA from 1 species